UGGCUAUUAUAACAAUAAAUUUCUCAUUGUGAAUGAUUGUUUGCAGAAAUACAGAUUUCUAGCCAAAUGGAUGUUUUUCUUUGAUGAGAUGAGUUCAUAUUUGUGCCUAAAAAGAGUACUAUCAAGUCUUUGGCUGAUUUGUUAUCAGAUUAUUACACAGUUCAUCAAUGAACAAAUGUCAAUGUCUAACAAACUCUAUUUAGAAGAAGUCCACGACAAAUGUUUCUGAAUCUGAUAAUUGACAAUUGUGAUUAUAAGGUCGAUCAAUUCUGCUCAAUGCCUUUAAGCGAAAUCUUAAAUUAUUGGUAUAGUAGUACAAUUUUGGUGGUUCUAAAUUUAUAUUUAUUUAAAGUUUCUUUGAUGGUGGAUACUGAAAUGUUUAAUAGAGACUUGACCACAAGUAGGUUUGGAACAUGUAUUCUCGAGAUUAACCUUCUCUGGUGGUUGAAUCUUGAAUAAUUGAGAUGCUUAAUGGGUUGCAAAAGUUAGGUGCCAUGGAGGGAGUAAGUUUCUUAUGCAUCUGUUCAAGUCAGCUUGCGUGCAUCUCAACUAUUAUAUCAUGUGCUCAUUAUUUUUCACCAACAUAGGUAUCGGGUAACUCUGACCACAUAACAAAGCUUAGACAAGUAUAUUCUUGCAUUUCUGGUUCUUUUGAGGUCCAAGUGGCAGCUAUGCAUGCUAUAGUUCUUUAACUGCUCUACACUGCUUUUUGUCCCUGUUAUGCAAUUUUUUUCUUAGCUUUGUAAUUUGAUUCUCUAUUCUGCUUUUUGUUGUGAUUAUAGUGAAAUUUAUGUGUUCUGCUUUGAGCCUUGGUGAAACUAAAUUGAAUAGCCUUUAAGCUUCAGAAAGAUAAGUAAGAAAAUUUUUUCUCUCUCUAUGGAGUAAUCUGUUACAACUCACACUCAAUUGUAUAAAGUCAAUUUGUCCAUCAAAGGUAGAACAAAUCAAAGGUUGGUGAUUGGAUGGAAAGGCAAUUAAUUAUACAUUUGUACUGAACAUUUCUAAAAAUGGACGUUUGCUACUAAACAUGGUGAUAGUCGUUAUGAGCCAAUUUUCUGAUAAUCUUGUAUGCUCCAGAGAGUUAUAACAGUCUGUUUUAAUCCUUCUUUCUUGUAAGCUUGUGUUGUGUAUUAAGCUUUAUUUUUUCUCAUGACUUGACCAGAAAAUUGGGUUUGUUGUGUAGUACACUUGUUAUUGAGUGUCUUGGCAUGUUGCCAAAGUAGUUUGUUUUCAAAGCCAUAAGAGCUAUAAUAAUUUGAGGAGUCGUGAAGGUGAAUAAAUUGAGUUGUACGGAAUUUUAUGUUAGUUCUUUAUAUCUGAAUCUUUUAUAACUGAUGUUCAUCUUAUUUUGUAACAUAUCGGUAUAACAUAUCUAGGAAGGUAGGGUGCAUGCAAACCUUAUUUCUACCUUUGUUGGGUAGAGAUAUUGUUCUUGAUUAGACCAUCGACUCAAAAGAAUAUAACCCAGACAAGAUUGAAAGGUAAAAGAUGAUAACAAGACAUCAAGAUGAAUUUUUUAAAAUGAACUAGAAAAGGGAAAUAUGACAAACAUAUUGAAAUGGAGGGUGUAGUUAAUAACCAAUCACAUUGGGAUCACUGGCCCGCCUUGAUUAAAGUAUGUCCAUUCAAAACAAAAGUAAUGAAUAGCCUUAUUUCUAUGAGUAUUUCUACUAUUUUCACAUCUUCCUUGUGCUUCUUUGAUAGGAAUAGUCUCUACUUUUUCUUGAGAUAAAAGUCUCUUAAUUUGAUCUUGUCCUCAAUCUCUAGUAUUCUUGUUCCUCCAAUUUGUUUAUUUCUUUCCCAUCUUCCUCUUUGUUUUGUGAUAUAUAGUACCUGGAUGUGAAAAAUACUAAAAGUAGUAGGUUUUGCUUUGGUUAUGCGGGGGAAGUAGUCUGGACAACCACAAGCUACUAUUUUUCGUAGAACAACAGGGGCUUGUCAAGAAAAUAAUCUUGCCAAUGAGCUUUUUCUCAGCUAUAAACAGUAACAACAUUCAAUUCCUUUUUCCUUUUUCUAAUGGAUCUUUCUCCUGACUUGUGAAUAAGAGAUUUUAAAGUUUCUUCCUUGUAUAAAUAUUGAUCAUUACAGUGAUGCAUCACUUGUCAAUAUCCAUUUUUUUGUGUGUUCUAUAAUCAUAAGUAGAUGUUAUACAUAAUAAAUACAGCGACAUAGUUGGUGUAGAAGAUGUCAUAUAGAGUUCGAAGUGACAACAUAUUCUCAACUUGUAGGGAAUUUCUAGUAGAGUCAAUAAGGGGGCUUCAACAUCCUCAACUAUAUCCAUUUUGCACCAGCAAAAGACUGUAAAUAUAAAAUCGCAGACUAGGGUGAAGGAUGAGUAUUGUUUGCGACUUAGUACUAUGCUUAGGAUUUAAGCGUGAUUGUAUGAACUUGCUUAAAUUUCUUUAUUGAAGAUAGCUUGAAAUUAAGUGACAUAUUUUUAAUGGUAAGAGAGGGUCUAUCGGAAACAAUCUCUCUACCUUCAUAGGGUAGGGGUUAGGUUGUGUACACACCACCCUCCCCGGACAUCAAGUCUAUGGGUGUGUUGUUAUAUUCCAAGUGGUAAGAGGCGUAAUGUAGGCGCAAGAAAAUUGAAGUUUGUCUCUGAUGGUGAUAGUCAACUUUUCAAGGUCUUCCAUUUUGGAAUUCUUCUUUGCCAACUCAAUUUAAAUCAAUCAAUUUCUAAGCAACAAGUUGAUGCAAAUUAGAGGUUAUGGUGUCUCUGAUGGUGAUGGUCAAGGUCUUCUCUGCUAACUUUACUUUAAUUAAAUCAAUCCAAUUGCAAGUAAUAUUUUGGUGCAAUUUUAAGACAAAGUAGAUACUGAGAUUGUAUUAGAUAAGGUUAAUGUAAUUAUAUAUGAAACAAGUAGUCAUUCAACAACAAUUCCCUGGCAUUAAGUUCAUCUGUUGAUGCUGAUGUUAAGCUCUCUCAAUUGUUGUUCAGCCCAACACUACUCUCAGGAUCUGAUUGUUGUUCUGUAAAUAAACUUCUUGUUGGUGUCCAUUAUGUUACAGUUUUGGCAUGAAAAUAUAAAACAUUAUGACUGAAAAUAAAUCUAUUCACUUGAAAUGGAAACUAACUAUAUGAAAGAUUGUACUAUGACUUACAUUUUUCUACAUAUAUGUACAUUUCUGCAUAUAUUGGUACGUAAUUCUCUCUAGACAGAAAUAAUUAGAAUUUUUUCUCACUUUUUUCAUUAUCUUAUAAAAUGCAUGUGAGUUGAUUCUACUUGAGAUAGAGGGUUCAAAAGAGAUGUUUGGCUUUCUCAGUUCAGGCCACAUUACAGCCGGUUCAGUCAACUCAUGCUGCAUCACAGUCAAUUUCCUCAAAUCAGGCUGCAUCACAAUCAACUUCAUUAAAUUAGGCCGAAUCAUAACAAGAACUAUUCAAGAAGCGUGUUGUUAGACAUGAGUCUACGGAAUAUUGGACCAUAGAAGCAAUAGCUAUGCUAUUGAUGAUUUUGCAGGCGGUGAAGAUAUAGACUCCAUUUGGCAUGUCGUGGCUCAGUGUACUGUUGCACUACCUAAGCAUAAACCAUGAUAUGUAAUGCUGUUGUACUACAGGGGUGGGUUACCCACUAGACAUUGUGUAGUGCUUUAGGUGCUGACAUGUAUGAUUGUGCUAUCCUACUAGUACCGCUUUUUUUUCACCGCUCUAAUGCCUGAGGUAAUUUUCUCAUCCCACUACCUCUCUGUAUGUUCAUCACUUAAUUGGUUUGGAGAUCACACAGUGGCAUUCUUUUGAAAUCGAUCUAAUACGAAUUCUCAGAUUGCGUGAAAAGAAAUCUAUAACUGCUAAUAUACUAGCCCAACAUCAAUGUUGUGUAUUCUUGAUCCAUGUAGAAAUCUUGUCUGAUGUGUAAACACUGAGAGGGAGAGAUGAUAAGUAAGUCGUGCGUCUAGUAAUCUAAUUGUUGUUUAAAUAAUACUGUGCUGCUCAAAAUUUCCUUUUAGUGGAAACUCCAUUUGAGUUUAAUCUGUGCACAUAUGCUACUCUGACUUCCCUCCUCCUUCCAUGUGAUAAAAGUAUUAUUGACUACGUUCUUUAUAAGAGGAAUAUGAAUGUGUAUGUUAGUAUAGACCUAUUUAUUUAUUUUUGGCAUUUUGUAUUGAAACUCAUAGUAGAGAAUUUGGUACUGUUGUUCACAUGCUUAGUGUCAGCUUGCAUUAUUUCAUAAUCGAGGUCACAUUCUUGUAAUUGUUAAUAUUUGCUUCCAGUUUACAUCUUGCAAAGUUGCAGAUCUGCAUUUUAUAACUCCUACAGUAUACAGGCGAUGCUAGUGAUACUAGUCGUAGUGACAUCGUUGAAGUUCUAUGAAUAGUUGCAAACAUUUUCUUGAGUAUGGAUGAUAGUAAAUCUUUUCAUCAAUAAAAGCAAGACUAGUGAAUGAUAGUUUUUAUAGUGAUUUGAAGUUUCUAGUAAUCAUAAAGGUUGAAGUGAAUGAUAUUUUUCAGUUUAGUUUGUAAAACUAAUAUUACACUUUGUAAUAUAUUUUUUGUGUUGAAAUGUUAUUUCUUAAUGCU